GAAACUUUUAAUAUGAGUACACCUUUGUGAAUUUUAUUUAUUAAAACCACCAGCAUUCUUGCUCUUGUUGUCACAAUUGCUGUUCCCACGAACACUGUCAUUUUUGUCACACCUACAACAUAAUCAACAGCUCCACCAUCCCUAUCACUUUCAUCAUGCUACCACCGCUACCAUCAUUAGUCCCACCGCCACUACCCUCAUUAUCUGUGCAACCAAAAUUCCUUCUUUUUUUUUCUUU
rnacentral:misc_RNA from 1 species